GCUAUAUACAGGAAGUACAGGAAAUAACAUGGCUAUAGACAGGAAGUACCAGGUAAUAACAUGGCUAUAGACAGGAAGUACCAGGUAAUAACAUGGCUAUAGACAGGAAGUACCAGGUAAUAACAUGGCUAUAGACAGGAAGUACCAGGUAAUAACAUGGCUAUAGACAGGAAGUACCAGGUAAUAACAUGGCUAUAUACAGGAAGUACCAGGUAAUAACAUGGCUAUAUACAGGAAGUACCAGGUAAUAACAUGGCUAUAUACAUGGAGUACCAGGUAAUAACAUGGCUAUAUACAGAAAGUACCAGGAAAUAACAUGGCUAUAUACACAGGGCACCAGGUAAUAACAUGGCUAUAUACAGGGAGUACCAGGUAAUAACAUGGCUAUAGACAGGAA
ensembl:lncRNA